UGGGAACGUGCCCUUCAGUUCGGAACAACCCAGGGAAACUUGGGCUAAUACCGGAUACGUCCGUAAGGAGAAAGAUUUAUCGCUGAAGGAUCGCCCCGCGUCUGAUUAGCUAGUUGGUGGGGUAAUGGCCCACCAAGGCUACGAUCAGUAGCUGGUCUGAGAGGAUGAUCAGCCACACUGGGACUGAGACACGGCCCAGACUCCUACGGGAGGCAG
rnacentral:rRNA from 1 species